GCAGAUGUUUGUCCGCCGGUGUCUCCGUACCUGGAAGAGAGCUGCUCUUCUCAAGACCACCUCCAGGUAUCAACGACAGGUAGACUGCCCCCAGGUAUCAACGACAGGUAGACCACCUCCAGGUAUCAACGACAGGUAGACCACCCCCAGGUAUCAACGACAGGUAGACCACCCCCAGGUAUCAACGACAGGUAGACCACCCCCAGGUAUCAACGACAGGUAGACCACCCCCAGGUAUCAACGACAGGUAGACCACCCCCAGGUAUCAAUGACAGGUAGACCACCUCCAGGUAUCAACGACAGGUAUCAACGACAGGUAGACCACUUCCAGGUAUCAACGACAGGUAGACUGCCUCCAGGCAUCAACGACAGGUAGACCACCCCCAGGUAUCAACGACAGGUAGACCACCCCCAGGUAUCAACGACAGGUAGACCACCCCCAGGUAUCAACGACAGGUAGACCACCCCCAGGUAUCAACGACAGGUAGACUGCCCCCGGACCCCGGCUCCCUGCUACCAUCUAGGGCAGAGGGUAUGGCUGUCCACUUGGGAUCUGGCCCCCCCCGGGCAGAGUCCAGUACACUGUCCCCCCAUUUUAUCGGCCCUUUCGCCAUCUCUAAAAUCCAUAGUAUACAAACCCUCCGUAUACAUCCCACUUUUCAUGUAUCAAGGAUUAAACUUCUGUCUCCCUUGCCCUGACCCUGCCUGCCCUGACCCUGCCUGCCCUA
ensembl:lncRNA